rnacentral:rRNA from 1 species
GAUGAACGCUGGCGGCGUGCCUAAUACAUGCAAGUCGAGCGAACAGACGAGGAGCUUGCUCCUCUGACGUUAGCGGCGGACGGGUGAGUAACACGUGGAUAACCUACCUAUAAGACUGGGAUAACUUCGGGAAACCGGAGCUAAUACCGGAUAAUAUAUUGAACCGCAUGGUUCGAUAGUGAAAGACGGUUUUGCUGUCACUUAUAGAUGGAUCCGCGCCGCAUUAGCUAGUUGGUAAGGUAAUGGCUUACCAAGGCAACGAUGCGUAGCCGACCUGAGAGGGUGAUCGGCCACACUGGAACUGAGACACGGUCCAGACUCCUACGGGAGGCAGCAGUAGGGAAUCUUCCGCAAUGGGCGAAAGCCUGACGGAGCAACGCCGCGUGAGUGAUGAAGGUCUUCGGAUCGUAAAACUCUGUUAUUAGGGAAGAACAAAUGUGUAAGUAACUAUGCACGUCUUGACGGUACCUAAUCAGAAAGCCACGGCUAACUACGUG